rnacentral:rRNA from 1 species
AGCCAGACUCCUACGGGAGGCAGCAGUGGGGAAUAUUGCACAAUGGGGGAAACCCUGAUGCAGCGACGCCGCGUGAGUGAAGAAGUAAUUCGUUAUGUAAAGCUCUAUCAGCAGGGAAGAAAAUGACGGUACCUGAGUAAGAAGCCCCGGCUAACUACGUGCCAGCAGCCGCGGUAAUACGUAGGGAGCAAGCGUUGUCCGGAAUUACUGGGUGUAAGGGGAGCGUAGGCGGGGAUGCAAGUUGGGUGUCAAAACUACCGGCUCAACCGAUAGUCGCACUCAAAACUGCAGCUCUUGAGUGAAGUAGAGGCAGGCGGAAUUCCUAGUGUAGCGGUGAAGUGCGUAGAUAUUAGGAGGAACACCAGUGGCGAAGGCGGCUUACUGGACUGUAAAUGACGCUGAGGCUCGAAAGCGUGGGGAGCAAACAGGAUUAGAUACCCUAGUA